UACGAAGGGGGCUAGCGUUGCUCGGAAUUACUGGGCGUAAAGGGCGCGUAGGCGGACAUUUAAGUCGUGGGUGAAAGCCCAGGGCUCAACCCUGGAAUAGCCUUCGAUACUGGAUGUCUUGAGUACGGGAGAGGUGAGUGGAACUCCGAGUGUAGAGGUGAAAUUCGUAGAUAUUCGGAAGAACACCAGUGGCGAAGGCGACUCACUGGCCCGUUACUGACGCUGAGGCGCGAAAGCUAGGGGAGCAAACGGG
rnacentral:rRNA from 1 species